rnacentral:rRNA from 1 species
CAAUCUCACCAGGCCAGGACUCUAGCAUGAUUGACAGAUUGAGAGCUCUUUCUCGAUUCAGUGGAUGGUGGUGCAUGGCCGUUCUUAGUUGGUGGAGUGAUCUGUCUGGUUAAUUCCGAUAACGAACGAGACUCUCCCCUGCUAACUAGUCGGUUGGAUCUUGAAAUGCGAGUCCGCAGUAGCAGGUCUUCUCUCCGCGGGAUGUGCGGCGGUGGUCAGCUUGGCUCUGGGUGCGUGUGUCUGUUGCCGUAAGGUGAUGGUGCCGUGCUCGGGUCUGGCGCUGUCGUGUCUUGCUGCCUGUGUUGGGGGUUUUCUUGCCUGCACUCCAAGUCCGCCGGCCUUCAUGGUCUUAAAGAUUUCUUCUUAGAGGGAUAAACGGCUCUGAAGCCGUCAGAGACUGAGAGCAAUAA